AAUUAAAAAUUUUAUUUAUUUAUACUAUUAAAAAUUAAUAUGGCUGAUAAAAUAUCAAGACAGUAAUACUUUGUGUGUCAUGUGUAUCUCAUAUUAAUAUACAAUGACUAAUUUUUAACAAUAUAAAUGAAUGAAAAAUUUUAAUA
rfam:Gossypium arboreum cultivar AKA8401 contig_17963_3, whole genome shotgun sequence.